rnacentral:lncRNA from 1 species
UACUGAGUCUUCCAGGCUUUAUCUGAGCGUAGUGUUGCACACUUAUGGAAAAUACUGGUUCUGGUACCAGGUGGGACCAGGUGGCCAUCACCGAGUCCUCAGGAGAGAGCACAGCUGUAAGCGGACGAUAACAAUUCAGGCAGGACUGCCCCACCCACCCACACCUGCUUCUGGAAGGUCUUUCCUCGACCUGAGAGAUCCAAAGGACUCAAGACUCACCACAGCAGCUGCCUGUUGUGCUGUCUCUCCCUGGCCGCCACCUCCCGCAGAACACUCCUCACCCUAUUCUGGUAAACCUGUGGGAGAAGAGGAAGACUGGAGGCC